UACAGGGGGGGCAAGCGUUGUUCGGAAUUACUGGGCGUAAAGGGUCUGUAGGUGGCCAACUAAGUCAUCCGUGAAAUCCCUCGGCUUAACCGGGGAACUGCGUCUGAUACUGGAUGGCUUGAGUUCGGGAGAGGGAUGCGGAAUUCCAGGUGUAGCGGUGAAAUGCGCAGAUAUCAGGAGGAACACCGAUGGCGAAGGCAGCUCGCUGGGACGGUACUGACGCUGAGGCGCGAAAGCGUGGGGAGCAAACAGG
rnacentral:rRNA from 1 species